CGGGUGAGUAAUACAUCGGAACGUGCCCAGUAGUGGGGAUAACCCGGCGAAAGCCGGACUAAUACCGCAUACGACCUACGGGUGAAAGCAGGGGAUCGCAAGACCUUGCGCUAUUGGAGCGGCCGAUGUCAGAUUAGCUUGUUGGCGGGGUAAAGCCACCAAGGCGACGAUCUGUAGCUGGUCUGAGAGGACGACCAGCCACACUGGGACUGAGACACGGCCCAG
rnacentral:rRNA from 1 species